GACAAAAGGUAAUUCGACAAAAAACCAUCAUACCACACUACCAACCGUAUAAAUACGGUAACAUUGUCAUAAAAUAUUGACAAAAUAUCACUUAAAUUAAUUAUCAAAAUGAAUUAAGUUUUUGGCGCUUGAUUUGAACCACUAAUCAGAUAAUAGAUAUUAAAAUUUAAAUCUUAUGGGCCAUGGCAUAACGUUUUAAAAUUUCACAUUUUCACGAUUCACGGAUAAAUGACACAAGUCACGUCGUUAAUAAUUUUCUUCAGUACUUCAAAAUUUUCAAGUUACAAGUUGCGAAUUAUUGUUGAUGAUUAUUAAAUAAUGUUCGAUAUAUUUCAACAUUAACACCAACUAAAUUAUAAAAAAAAACGAUAAAUCGAAACGUUUAAAACCAGAAAGGCAACGGUUGUGGAUUAAAUUGCCCAAGCAAUCUCUACACAAGCAUUUGUGUCCACAAGGAAUGCAUGCGUGGCUGUUGACAUUGCUUAAACAAAUAACGCAGCAAUCGGCGGGUCUUGGUUCAACUCCAUUGAUAUCGAGAGGAACAUGAGGGAUGUUUUCCCUGUCUUGAGCCCUCCUCUGUUCCUCAAUUUCCGCCAUAGCAAUGAACACCGGAUCAUCAUCCUCUGCUAAUACAAAAUCAGGUUCAUCUAGAUUAUAAUAAAAUACAGUGAUAUUAAAUUUAACUUACUGGUAAAAUGCCAAAUACCAGGACGUGGACUAUUCAUGAUAGUGUUUAAAUGGCGGUGAAAUAUCUCCUGGUCGUUGUUAGUUCUCCUUGGCAUGCCAUGUACACAAAAGGUUUCCGGUCCAACCCCUAAUGUUAAUUAAUAUUAUUAUGGAUAAAGACUACUUAAGGUAGGGUUAUAAACUUUGUUUAAUUUUUGUAAUUUUGUUAAAAAAAAAUCUGUAACUGGUUUGACUGAAUA